GAUGAACGCUGGCGGCGUGCCUAAUACAUGCAAGUCGAGCGAACAGACGAGGAGCUUGCUCCUCUGACGUUAGCGGCGGACGGGUGAGUAACACGUGGAUAACCUACCUAUAAGACUGGGAUAACUUCGGGAAACCGGAGCUAAUACCGGAUAAUAUAUUGAACCGCAUGGUUCAAUAGUGAAAGACGGUUUUGCUGUCACUUAUAGAUGGAUCCGCGCCGCAUUAGCUAGUUGGUAAGGUAACGGCUUACCAAGGCAACGAUGCGUAGCCGACCUGAGAGGGUGAUCGGCCACACUGGGACUGAGACACGGUCCAGACUCCUACGGGAGGCAGCAGUAGGGAAUCUUCCGCAGUGGGCGAAAGCCUGACGGAGCAACGCCGCGUGAGUGAUGAAGGUCUUCGGAUCGUAAAACUCUGUUAUUAGGGAAGAACAAAUGUGUAAGUAACUAUGCACGUCUUGACGGUACCUAAUCAGAAAGCCACGGCUAACUACGU
rnacentral:rRNA from 1 species